AGUAUGAAGCAAGAGAGGGAUGACUGGGAAGACAAAUUUCACACCUCACACCUUGAGAAAGUAGAAUUGCAGAAGCAGCUAAAGAAAAAGGACGACUUGAUAGAAUUACUCGAGAAACAUGUUGUGAAGAGAUCAAUAGGCCAAGAGGAUUUAUUUUCCUCUAACAGUGCAUCAUCUACCCAUCUUCCUACUUCCGGCGUUUGGAAAGGAAUUGUAGACC
rnacentral:lncRNA from 1 species